rnacentral:rRNA from 1 species
GAUGAACGCUGGCGGCGUGCCUAAUACAUGCAAGUCGAGCGAACAGACGAGGAGCUUGCUCCUCUGACGUUAGCGUCGGACGGGUGAGUAACACGUGGAUAACCUACCUAUAAGACUGGGAUAACUUCGGGAAACCGGAGCUAAUACCGGAUAAUAUAUUGAACCGCAUGGUUCAAUAGUGACAGACGGUUUUGCUGUCACUUAUAGAUGGAUCCGCGCCGCAUUAGCUAGUUGGUAAGGUAACGGCUUACCAAGGCAACGAUGCGUAGCCGACCUGAGAGGGUGAUCGGCCACACUGGAACUGAGACACGGUCCAGACUCCUACGGGAGGCAGCAGUAGGGAAUCUUACGCAAUGGGCGAAAGCCUGACGGAGCAACGCCGCGUGAGUGAUGAAGGUCUUCGGAUCGUAAAACUCUGUUAUUAGGGAAGAACAAAUGUGUAAGUAACUAUGCACGUCUUGACGGUACCUAAUCAGAAAGCCACGGCUAACUACGUG